ensembl:lncRNA novel transcript
GCUGGGAGUUGUAGUUCCGCUGGAGUGUACAGGGGACCAAGCCUACCCCGGGGAUGGAAAAAUCCGGCUGAGACGGCCUGGGCCGCUGCCACGCGCGGGCGUUAUUCUCCACCCACCUGCGGCCUGAAGAUGCCUGAGGCCCGGACUCUCAGACCCCUAUUGCCCUUUGGUGCUGGAGGCCCAGCGGCAGCCUGAAGCCCAAGAGAGUGGAGCCUCGCGAAAUGAGGAACCUGGCACAAGGUUUGCUUGGAAGCAGGAACGACGGAGUGUGGCUACGUGCCCUAUUUGCCAUUAACGCUUUCUUGCAUGGCAGUGAGAGAUGAGGGCAAGGGAGGUGGCAUAAUGCUCCCGGCCGCUUGGGACUCGGAGAGACGGCAUUUAAUAAAUCACACGCGGUAUUUGCGAAACAGUGGUCGAGAUUCGUCUUCCCGGGUUCAUUGCGUCAUUAAUAGGCGGGAACAGUGCCCCUGUGUUGAGGCUGCAGAGGCCCUAAUUGGUUUUCCCAAGACAGAGGGGCAUAUGAGAUUGAACAAAUAUUUGUUGAAUGAAUGAACAAAGGGAACGCCUUUUAGGGAUGUUUCUGGGGGAAAGGCCUGAGGUUCUCCAGGAGGGUCUGCAGCUAGGGUCGGCCGUGGGGGCUCGCAGCCCGCGGGACCACCGGACCUGCAAGCGUCCCCCUGCCCCGCCCCCGCCUCGGCGCUCUGAGCAAUUGGACUCUGCCAGCUCUAACUCCGGCGGGACUCUGAAACUCAGGCAAGAGCCGAGGUGACUGGGUCCUUUGAAAUGGGUAGGGGACACGUAUCCGGUAGAACUAAAACUAGCGUGGGGAUUUGAAGCCAAAACUCUCAAGUUUUUACUGAAUCUUAAAACCAUCAACUUCCAAAUGUCUGCAUUUGUCUUUACACCACACAGGUCUCCCCUCUAUCAUGGCAUUUGUCGAAAAGGAGGGUAGAUGUUUGUUUUUCGCACCUUUACUUUGGGGAAUUGUAAAAUCAGGAAGAUAAUAAGAAACAAUUGUUAGAAAUCAGUAACUAAAAAUGCUUAUGAAUAUUUCCACCAAAAUAAUGACCAGUGUUUGUGAGGUCAAUAGAUUCAGGAUUACCAAAUAAAUUCUUUCAUUAUAUUUUAAGAAGUACACAGUUAAAAUAGACCAAUAGCACUUUAACAUUAAUCAGCUUAAGAUUAUGCAAUAUUAUAUAUAAUUCUCAAAUCCCUUAAGGGAGAUCAGAAACUACUGAAAUAUAAGAGAUUUUUGUCACCUCUGAAAUUGUGAAGAAUAUGUUUUUUUUCUUUCAGCUUUUCUACCAAGUAAAUAAAGCUUCCCUUUAGGCAUUUUACUAAUUUUUAGAUGUGUUUUGAAAGAAAAGUCUUAAGUUAUAUAUUAAAGUGAAAAUGUGAAUCUUUAAAUGGAUACAAGAAAUGUUAUAUGAACAUUCCAUUCUUAUCAAUUUAAAUGUUCGUAUCUUACAGAAAACAUGGAAACAACGCUAAUGAAAAUCCUGUAAAUCCUGUAAAUUACUGAUAUUUGAAAAUUCACUGCCAAUCUCCUAUGUCACUUGGUUUUUAUUUUUCUUACCUAUAAUUUAGAUUGCAGUAUAGAAGAUUUUUCCCCAUUUUCUGUGCUUUUUUAAGAAAGAAGGAGAUAAA